GGCCCGGUAGCGCUUGGAGCGCGUCUGCGAUUCUUAAUAGUCCUGGCAUUUCCAAAGUUCAAGCAGAGGUUCCCCGUUCGAUUCGGGGUCGGGCCG